rnacentral:rRNA from 1 species
UCCAGACUCCUACGGGAGGCAGCAGUGGGGAAUAUUGGACAAUGGGGGGAACCCUGAUCCAGCGACGCCGCGUGAGUGAAGAAGUAUUUCGGUAUGUAAAGCUCUAUCAGCAGGGAAGAAAAUGACGGUACCUGACUAAGAAGCUCCGGCUAAAUACGUGCCAGCAGCCGCGGUAAUACGUAUGGAGCAAGCGUUAUCCGGAUUUACUGGGUGUAAAGGGAGCGCAGGCGGCUUUGCAAGUCUGAUGUGAAAGGCCGGGGCUCAACCCCGGGACUGCAUUGGAAACUGUAAAGCUAGAGUGCCGGAGGGGUAAGCGGAAUUCCUAGUGUAGCGGUGAAAUGCGUAGAUAUUAGGGGGAACACCAGUGGCGAAGGCGGCUUACUGGACGGCAACUGACGCUGAGGCUCGAAAGCGUGGGGAGCAAACAGGAUUAGAUACCCGGGUAC